CAGAUCUUUAUCACUUCGCCGCUUUCUCCUCUCUUUCUUUGAUUUUAUUUCUUCACUUGGGAAUGCUGCCUCCUUAGAUUAAUCUAUCCCUCUGCCUUCUAUUGAUAUGGAAAGAAUUAGCUAACAAUAGUUCCAUGGACUGUUCUUAUUUUUUUUAACAAUUGGAUCCUGUCUAAAGUACAAAAUCCCUUCACUUGGAGAAAGCACGGGUAAACGAUAGAGCUACAACAUCAUCGUUGCAGUUAUCCGGACGUUCAACAUUCAACAGGCUUUGGUAGGUCGUCAUACUUUUGAGGAUGCUGUUGUUUUAUAUUCUAGCGUAGUUUUAGAGAUGAGCUAGUGGAGCAUGUUCCGCUAGCGUUUCCUUCAUGUUUUAUUCAGACUAUGUAUUGGUUCCAUUUUGGCAAUUAUACACUUAAUAAAAAUUGAACUAUUUCUUUUA